rnacentral:ncRNA from 2 species
UAUAUUUAUGGGAAUGAAGUUCUCCCCUAGCAGUAUUUGCUAAAACCGCUUUUUCUAGAGCUGAUGACUUCUGUGAGUAU